rnacentral:lncRNA from 10 species
UCAGAAUCAUAUGUGUCAUAUGGCCUUUCUUGACUACUGUGAUGUGCUGGCUCCCCAACAGAUACACCUGCAUCCUAAUCCCUAGAAACUGUGAAUGUGACCUUAUUUACAAAAAGAAUCUUUGCAGAUGUAAUUAAGUAUUUUAAGAUGAGAUCAUCCAGGAUUACCACUCAGCCCUAAAUCCAUUGACCAAGUGUCCUUAUAUGGGACAGAAGAGGAGAAAAAGGAUAAAACAGAAGGAAGUAAAGCUCUCUGAUCAUAGAGACAGAGAUUGGUGAUAGGCAACCACCAGCCAAGGGACACAUGGAACCACCAGAAGCCAGAAGAGCCAAGGAAAAAUUUUCCUCUGGAACAUUUAAAGGGAGCAUAGCCCUCUGAUGCUUUGAUUUAGGAUUUCUGACCUCUAGAACGAUGAAAGAAUAAAUUUGUGUGUUGGUUGGUUUAAGCCACCAAGUUUAUGGUUAUUUUUUACAGCAGCUCUAGAAAACUAAUACGACUGCCUUAUCUAAAAUAACACAUUCUGUUUUCUCACCUGCUUUAU